GUUGUACUACCUCCGUCCGGAAUUAGUUGUCGCUAAAAUGGAUGUAUCUAGAUGUAUUUCAGUGUUAGAUACAUCCUUUUGAGUGACAAGUAAUUCCGAACGGAGGGAGUAGUAA
rfam:Triticum aestivum genome assembly, contig: Triticum_aestivum_CS42_TGACv1_scaffold_251050_3DL